ACCCGCUGAAUUUAAGCAUAUAAGUAGGUGGUGAAUGAGAAACAAACCAGGAUUACCUCAGCAAUGGCGAAUGCAGAGGGUUGAGCUCAUUGUGGAAGUCAGGGCGCUCGUUCCCGACUUGUAUUCUUGAGGUGUGCAACCCACAGAGGUGUAGCUCUAGGCUUUUGGGAAGGUGCAUUGAUGAGGGUGACAACCCUGUGUGUCAGCUACAGCCCUCAGCGUGUGGUGCACAAUUCGCGAGUCACAUUCCUUUGGAUUGGUGUGUGAAGCAGGUGGUACAAUUCAUCUGAAGCUGAAUAUUUGUCUGAGACUGAUAGCGAACAAGUACCGUGAGGGAAAGGUGAAACAGGACUUUGAAAAGAGAGCUAAGCAUGCCUGAACUUGCUGAACAGGACAUGAGGGAAACCAGUAUAACUUGAUAAGCUUGCUGUGCGUGGUCCUUCUUGUCUGCACCUUGUUCUUGUUCAUCUUGCUGUUCAUGAGGAGGUUGCGCAUAGUGUGCCUUGUCUUGUCGAUCAGGGUCAGCACAUUACCUAAGGGGAUAUUCAAAUGCAUUCCAACUUGCCAUCUGGUGGGCGACUGCAUUUUUUAUGCUUGUGUGUGUGCCUCUUGAUGACUAUUCGGUGCCAUUCGCCCCGUCUUGAAACACGGAUCAAGGAGUCUAAUAUACGUGCGCGCUUAUCGGUUGUAGAACUUGUUAGCACAACAAAGAUAUCGGUUGGGAAAUGUGCACCAACACCCGAUCUUGCAGCUGCGGGAGGUUCGAGUAUGAGCAUGUCUAUUAGGACCCGAAAGAUGGUGAACUAUGCCUGUGAAGGGCAAAUUCAGGGGAAACUCUGAUGGAGGCCCGCAGUGAUACUGACGUGCAAAUCGUUCGGCAUACAGGGGCAUAGGGGUGAAAGACUGAUCGAAUCAUCUAGUAGCUGGUUCCCUCUGAAGUUUCCCUCAGGAUAGCUGGAGCUGGACAGCUUUAUCACGUAAAGCCAAUGAUUAAAGGAAUUAGGGGCUUGUUGCCCUUGACCUGUUCUCAAACUCUAAAUAGGUAAACCACAGUUGUUACAUGUGUGAGUUUCAGUGGCAAGUGGCAUCUCUAAGUGGGCCAUUCUUGGUAAGCAGAACUGGCGAUGAGGGAUGAACCUAACGUUGGGCAAAGGUGUCUCCUUGCUCACUCAUCAGAUACCAUAAAGGGUGUUGGUUCAUCUUAACAGCAGGACGGUGGUCAUGGAAGUUGAAAUCCGCUAAGGAGUGUGUAAUAACUCACCUGCCGAAUGGACUAGCCCCUAAAAUGGAUAGCGCUCAAGUGGGUGACUGAUGGCCAACCAAUUCUGUGGUUUUGCUGCAUCAGUGAGUAGGAGGGCACAGGGCUUUGUGCUGAAGCUUGAGGCGUAAGUCUGGGUGAAACAGGCCUGGGUGCAGAUCUUGGUGGUAGUAGC
rnacentral:rRNA from 1 species